rnacentral:rRNA from 1 species
CCUACGGGAGGCAGCAGUCGAGAAUCAUUCACAAUGGGGGAAACCCUGAUGGUGCGACGCCGCGUGGGGGAAUGAAGGUCUUCGGAUUGUAAACACCUGUCAUGUGGGAGCAAAUUAAAAAGAUAGUACCACAAGAGGAAGAGACGGCUAACUCUGUGCCAGCAGCCGCGGUAAUACAGAGGUCUCAAGCGUUGUUCGGAAUCACUGGGCGUAAGGCGUGCGUAGGCUGUUUCGUAAGUCGUGUGUGAAAGGCGCGGGCUCAACCCGCGGACGGCACAUGAUACUGCGAGACUAGAGUAAUGGAGGGGGGAGCAGAAUUCCCGGUGUAGCAGUGAAAUGCGUAGAUAUCGGGAGGAACACUCGUGGCGAAGGCGGGUUCCUGGACAUUAACUGACGCUGAGGCACGAAGGCCAGGGGAGCGAAAGGGAUUAGAUACCCUAGUAGUC